rnacentral:rRNA from 1 species
GACGAACGCUGGCGGCGUGCUUAAUACAUGCAAGUCGAACGGAAAGGCCCUGCUUUUGCGGGGUGCUCGAGUGGCGAACGGGUGAGUAACACGUGAGUAACCUGCCCUUGACUUUGGGAUAACUUCAGGAAACUGGGGCUAAUAUCGGAUAGGAGAUCUUGCUGCACGGUGGGGGUUGGAAAGUUUCGGCGGUUGGGGAUGGUCUCGCGGGUUAUCAGCUUGUUGGUGGGGUAGUGGCUUACCAAGGCUUUGACGGGUAGCCGGCCUGAGAGGGUGACCGGCCACAUUGGGACUGAGGUACGGCCCAGACUCCUACGGGAGGCAGCAGUGGAGAAUAUUGCACAAUGGGCGGACGCCUGAUACAACAACGCCGCGUGCGGAAUAACGGCCUUCGGGUUAUAAACCGCUUUCGCCGGUAACGAAGCGUGAGUGACGGUAAUGGGUAAAGAAGCACCGGCUAACUACGUG